CCUACGGGAGGCAGCAGUGGGGAAUAUUGGGCAAUGGGCGCAAGCCUGACCCAGCAACGCCGCGUGAAGGAAGAAGGCUUUCGGGUUGUAAACUUCUUUUAAGAGGGAAGAGCAGAAGACGGUACCUCCGGAAUAAGCCACGGCUAACUACGUGCCAGCAGCCGCGGUAAUACGAAGGUGGCACGCGUUGUCCGGCUUUACUGGGUGUAAAGGGCGUGCAGCCGGGAAGACAAGUCAGAUUUGACAUCCCGCGGCUCAACCGCGGAACUGCAGUUGAAACUGGUGUUGUUGUGUCCCGGAUGGGUCAUCGGAAUUCCUGGUGUAGCGGUGAAAUGCGUGGAUAUAAGGAAGACCACCAGUGGCGCCGGCGGCUGACUGGACGGCAACUGACGGUGAGGCGCGAACGCGCGGGGAGCAAACAGGAUUAGAUACCCGGGUAGUC
rnacentral:rRNA from 1 species